AAAGCGUGCGUAGGCGGCUGAUUAAGUCGGAUGUGAAAUCCCUGAGCUUAACUUAGGAAUUGCAUUCGAUACUGGUCAGCUAGAGUAUGGGAGAGGAUGGUAGAAUUCCAGGUGUAGCGGUGAAAUGCGUAGAGAUCUGGAGGAAUACCGAUGGCGAAGGCAGCCAUCUGGCCUAAUACUGACGCUGAGGUACGAAAGCAUGGGGAGCAAACAGGAUUAGAUACCCUGGUAGUCCAUGCCGUAAACGAUGUCUACUAGCCGUUGGGGCCUUUGAGGCUUUAGUGGCGCAGCUAACGCGAUAAGUAGACCGCCUGGGGAGUACGGUCGCAAGACUAAAACUCAAAUGAAUUGACGGGGGCCCGCACAAGCGGUGGAGCAUGUGGUUUAAUUCGAUGCAACGCGAAGAACCUUACCUGGCCUUGACAUAGUAGAAACUUUCCAGAGAUGGAUUGGUGCCUUCGGGAAUCUACAUACAGGUGCUGCAUGGCUGUCGUCAGCUCGUGUCGUGAGAUGUUGGGUUAAGUCCCGCAACGAGCGCAACCCUUUUCCUUACUUGCCAGCAUUUCGGAUGGGAACUUUAAGGAUACUGCCAGUGACAAACUGGAGGAAGGCGGGGACGACGUCAAGUCAUCAUGGCCCUUACGGCCAGGGCUACACACGUGCUACAAUGGUCGGUACAAAGGGUUGCUACCUAGCGAUAGGAUGCUAAUCUCAAAAAGCCGAUCGUAGUCCGGAUUGGAGUCUGCAACUCGACUCCAUGAAGUCGGAAUCGCUAGUAAUC
rnacentral:rRNA from 1 species